rnacentral:rRNA from 1 species
GAUGAACGCUGGCGGCGUGCCUAAUACAUGCAAGUCGAGCGAACAGACGAGGAGCUUGCUCCUCUGACGUUAGCGGCGGACGGGUGAGUAACACGUGGAUAACCUACCUAUAAGACUGGGAUAACUUCGGGAAACCGGAGCUAAUACCGGAUAAUAUAUUGAACCGCAUGGUUCAAUAGUGAAAGACGGUUUUGCUGUCACUUAUAGAUGGAUCCGCGCCGCAUUAGUUAGUUGGUAAGGUAACGGCUUACCAAGGCAACGAUGCGUAGCCGACCUGAGAGGGUGAUCGGCCACACUGGAACUGAGACACGGUCCAGACUCCUACGGGAGGCAGCAGUAGGGAAUCUUCUGCAAUGGGCGAAAGCCUGACGGAGCAACGCCGCGUGAGUGAUGAAGGUCUUCGGAUCGUAAAACUCUGUUAUUAGGGAAGAACAAAUGUGUAAGUAACUAUGCACGUCUUGACGGUACCUAAUCAGAAAGCCACGGCUAACUACGUG